GGCAUCGUAGCUGAGUUGGUUAGAGCGUUGGUUGUACUCAAGCCUUCAAAUUGCUGGUGUGGGUUCGAAUCCCACCGAGGCCG
rnacentral:tRNA from 1 species